GCCAGCAGCCAUAUCACUCUGCAACUCACAACUGGCAGCCCACUGAAGCUCAGCAGGUGUGAGCCUGGUCAGUACCUGGAGGGGCGACCUCCUGGGAAAAACUAAGGUUGCUGCUGGAA
rnacentral:rRNA from 1 species